rnacentral:rRNA from 1 species
UACGUAGGGGGCAAGCGUUGUCCGGAUUUACUGGGCGUAAAGAGCGUGUAGGCGGCCAGGCAGGUCUGUUGUGAAAACUGGAGGCUUAACCUCCAGACGUCGACAGAAACCGCUUGGCUAGAGUCCGGAAGAGGAGAGUGGAAUUCCUGGUGUAGCGGUGAAAUGCGCAGAUAUCAGGAAGAACACCAAUGGCGAAGGCAGCUCUCUGGGACGGUACUGACGCUGAUGAGCGAAAGCCAGGGGAGCAAACGGG